rnacentral:lncRNA from 1 species
GUCUGUUGGUCUUGUGGCCUCUAUUUGGAGAGGACAGGACAGUGCACAGAUUAGGAAACGAGGAAAGAGAGUGUGGAGUGACCUGCGGAAAAGGAGCCACAGGCUGGAAAGAAACCUGAGCAGGUGGGUUAAGGCAUAACUUCAGUUUAUAAGGUGCAUGUCGAUCGCCAGGCCAGCAGCGUCCCUCAAAUGGUUGAUUUUAACACAAGUUCAACCUGUGAUGAGGCAUAUAACCCACCACUGCUUUAGUGUGGAGUGGCACCAUGAAAGGCCAGGGGGUGGCAGAAGUGCUAACACAAAAACCCCUAGACAUACUUCUGUUGUUUGUUAAAUAAUACAAAAGUAACUGUACUAUCAAACUUUGUUGGGGAUAUGCUGUAUCUCCAAUCAAGUGUCCAGUCUCAUGCGUAAACAUGCUGACAUGAGCUUGUUCAUUGAACAUGCUCAUUUUUGGUGAACUUAGCAGCUUGUUUUCCAAUUUACAGAAGAAAACACGAGUGUAGUUCACUCUGGAGUCAGGUAACUGCUGCUCACUUUAAGGGAAGACCUGAGAGGUGUCAAGAGUUAUCAGGAGGUCAGCCUCGAACAGGGGUUCUCAACCUUUGGCAGUGGGCCCUCCCAAAGGUGGAGUAAUGCAGUUGGGCCCCCCAAGACUGACCACCCCCCUCCCUCUGUAUGACCAAAACAGCCCCUUUUAUCCACACAGACACACCUGUGUUCAUCAAGCUACUGGUUUCACAGCUGCUCAUUACACCACACCACAGUUUAACAGAGAUCUGACAUAAAUUAAAGGUGGGAAAAAUUUCUUACCCUCACUCUGGUGUCCAAAACAGGCAGCAUUAUCAUUCAUCCAGCUCCAACAGGUUAAAAAUCCACCGAUAUUAUUCCCAUAGUCAUUCAUUUUCUCACCUCUAUGAAUUUAAAAUGGAUGAGCACAGAAAAAAAUGUCUCAGUAAGAGUCUGACUUCAGAUACCUUGUACUAAAGGUAUAUCUUACUCAGGUGUAUCAGACCUCUCUCUGUACAUAUCUGAUGUGUGGUCAGUGAAAUUCUUUCACUGGAAUAAUUUUUAUCUCUGUGUUCAAAGGAAAAAUUUCAAUAAAACAGAAAAACUAUAAUAAACAACAAUAAACAACAACUAUGAGAGGUGACCUUCGAAUUCAGAAUGUUUGAUAUUUUCAAUUCAGAACAAACUGGACAUCUGGCCGGCUUGAUCAACUCUCGACUGAGAAACAAACAUUUUGGAAAAAACUUCAACUUCGCCUGGAUUUCAAGAACCUGGACUUUACUAGAAGGAAACAACACCUGAGGUCACCUGUGGAUCCUGAAUCUUUGACGAAAGAUGGCUUCUGGCAGACCCCGGCCUGUGGAGUGCCCCCUGACCUGGGUCAGACAGUGGCACAGCAGUGUCACAAGUGAGAAAGCUUUGAAAUUUCAUAUUAAAAUUCACUCAAUUUUACUUGUUGAAUGAUUUUAAGGAAAAGUUAUUAUCUAUCAAGCAGGAUUAAAGUAUUAAAGUCACAGUUAAUUGAAGUUUAAUUGACCAGUGGUGGGAACAGAGUUAUGAAUAUAACUCGAUAGCUUGACCCAGAACCAUGUUUUAAUGUCAGAAAUGUCUAAAUUUGCAUGGGGAAAACGGUCAAACAUAUUGACUGUGGUGUGCUGAGGGGAAAAAACUUUUAUUUGCUCAUGUAUGGUGUAAGGACUUCAACUUUUAAAUUAAACCACCGAAAUGAAAUUAUUAAAGAUGGCGCCUGGGCCACUUUUUUGGAAUGUUUAAAAAACUUUUUGUUCAUAACUUGGAGAUGUUGGAACUGUGAGAAGUGGGCCUUAAGUAGGUGUGCCUUGCCAAAAUCAUCAUUUAUGCCAUGGCUGUGAUGUUUGGGUUAUUUAUUGGUAUGAAGUCUGUUUGAAUAAUUAAUAGAUAUGUAUUGAAGAGUUGAGACUGAAUUGUAAUGCAGCCACUAUGCAAAUGCGUCUCCCCCAUGCCCUUUUUUAAACUGACAGAUUAGAGGUUUAAAGAAGAAAAAGCUCUGUUUCCAAGAAGCAGGCAUCUUUAUUAAGUUAUCUUGUUAACCUGGUGUAAAUGUCAUCAAUCCGCAAGAUUUUAAUGAAUUUCCACAUAUUUUGGUGUUCGUUUUUAUGCACCGAGCUUAGUGACACAGAUGAACUUUUUGGCAAACCCCAAACCCCAACAUUUUAGCCAGGUUUUGCAAACUGCAGGUAAGUGAUGUCUGCGAUUUAAUGACAGAUUCCCCCCUUGCAAAGAAAAAAAAACAACCUCUAAUUGAUACUGAAAAGUGUCCCAAACAUCAAAACAUGAAAAUAACUUCUCCUUGUUUUCGAUGCACUGGAAUUCAGUAGAAAUUUUAUGUGACUGCGAUGUGUACCAUUAGGCAGCAAAAAUCAAGGUUGCUUUGUCUUUGCACUUCAACCGUUCAAUCUUAUUUUGACAGUAUUUGAAAUGGUAUUCUCCUGCUUUGUCCUCUGCUGCUUCCUCUGAUUUCACUUUUGCUUCUUCUCCUUACCCCUCUAAAUCUUCUUCUGAUCUAUCCCCUUCUUCUUCAUCUCAUUUCUCUACCUCUUCUUUUGAUGACUUCUCUGCUACUUCUUUUGAUUUCUCUUUUGCUUCUUCUUCUGAUCCCUCUUCUGCUUCUUCUGCUUCUUCUGACUUCUUCGGCUUAUUCAGGGCUAACCUCAUGCUUGCCCUCCUGACUUCUUUGCUAUGAGAAUGUGCAGGCAGUGAGAGGACAGUAAUCAGGAGGCGGGCCCGUCACCACAGACACCAACAUGGCCUGAUGAGGAACCAUAACCAUCAGCUCCUCCCAGUGGCAUAUGCCAUAGAGAGGGAGGAGAUAAGGCGUGGAGUGGAUCACAUCACAUCAAGUUGUAUAUAUUCAAACCUCACGUGACAAAGGUGGGUAGUGCGCAAAGAUCACAACAUAAAUUCCAAUAAUGGCAUUAAAAUUGGAACCACCUGUGCAUAAAGGGCGCAUUGCGCUCCAUGGCCUGGCUGUUUCUUUCAUAGAUGUUGGCAUAUAAAAUAAAUUUGGCUCACGCAACUGAAUAUUAUAAUAUCCGUAUGUAGGCUUACAGUAAAUAACUCAUCUGAUAACUAAAGCAAAUUAUCUGUUCAGCCGCAGCAGCAGCAGCAGGACAGGGAGAAGGCAUGGAGACAUGUCCAGGUCGAGCUACGCGAGAAAUAAGAGAAAGAUAGAAAUAGGGUCUUGUCUAUUUACUAGAUAUUUAAUUUAAUUUAAUGCAGUUUCAGCUCUGUUAAUUCAGUCAGGUUGAGUGUCCAAACACGUGCCAAACAUGCUCAUCAGAUUAGAUAGAGAUCAGAAUGUAUCGAUAUAGAUCUAAAUGUAUGUGCUGACUCAGAAUAUUGGUUGUUGUUGAUCAUUUAUUGCACUGAAAUGUGCCUGACACUGUAGAAACCUGUAAGUGAGGCAUCUGUGACGUAUGCGCACUAUGCCACCGGUCUACCAAAAAACCACUAGACCAGCUGCGCACCGCCUGUGAUGAAAGCUGACCAGGUUUGAAUUGGCGAGCUUUCAGCGCACAUUCCAUGCUGUCAGUGAGCGCGAAAAUGUCACUGCGCCAGCUGAUUCUGUCGACACCUCCCCCUGCCACGCUUGGUGGACCUCGGUGCGCCUUAGUCUACGAAAAUACCAAACUGUCUGGGUGCCGGGCUCCGCCAGACGAAGUAUCACUGCGCAGGGUCCACCACCCUUAGCCGUGCCGCUGGCAGGUGCAAAAAUAGAGCCCUGUGUUUUUUGACAGCCACAUCAAACAUAUUGCGCUGGGUGCUACUCGCCUUUGUCAUCCAGCAGAUGUUGUCAGUGAGCCAAGGAGCUGCUUUCAGUUGUUUGUGAAGAAAUCAGUACCAAUCCCACUGAAUUAAACCCAAUUCGGUUUCAGAAAGGUACAACUUUAAGAUUUGUGUUUGGGCAUACCUCCAAAAGUUUAAUUUAUGGAUUUAAAAAUUGGACAGACACACAGAACUUUGAUGAGUCAGAAGAUUUAGAACCAUUUAAACCAAACCUUUCGUUCAGAAAUUUUAGCUUGGAAGAGUUUAAAAAAAAGUUUUCAUUCAUAAAUGGAUCUAUUUUAGUGAGACUCCUAUAAUAACCAAGGAACCUCAUGAUGUAGAAAAGACUUUUGCAAGAGCAGAAAUUAAAGUGUGAAAACCCAGCCCAGUCUCCCAUACUAAGAAUUAGGACAGAGUAUGAUCAUGAAAGCAACCAGCAUACCUGGGAAUCCUUCAGGUACAGAGCCUGCAGAGAAAGUAUGCUUCAUAAAUCAUCAACAACUAUGAAUGCCAAACUGACACUGAAGAGAUCCAACAGAACGGGUUCAUGUUUGGAUGUCUGCCCUCAAACCUGACAGCACUUAUUAAAAUAAUAAUACUGUUCACCACAUCAGUUUGCACUUUCAUCUCUUCUGGGAACGCCCUUGUUUAAUUACGUGAGCUGAUCCUCACACACAAAUAUAGCAGCCUCAUUCUUGAGGUUUAUUUGAGAGAUAUGUUUGCUCCUGAUGUAAUGAUCGGGUCCAAAAUCCAAAGACCUUCUCCUUAAGGUCAUUCUUAUCCAACUUUACUGGAAGCUGAGGUGUUGAAACAAAAAAAGAGGUAUUUAGUCCUAAAAUGGCUCAGUUUAGAAGGUUUCAGCAUGACCUUUCUUAAUCAGAUUAUUGAAGCAUCAUAUUAGCUUCAGCAGAGCUUUUGAAUAGUACAUGGAGGGUGGAUUUUGUCCCUGAACACUUUCAGUGUAAGCCUAUUAGCUGAGGGAUCAAUGAAGGGUCAGUAUGAAGAGGAGUGGUUAUAAAAACAGAUGUACUUAAACAACACACUUAUCAAAAGCUCUGUUUUGUAAUCAUGAUGCUUAAUUAUGUCCCAUUUUACAUCAGCUUGUUGAUAGUCCAACUACAUUCACAUUCACAGUACAGUUUGAAUUAAAAAGUUUAUAUUAGCACCUCUCUAUUAUAAACAAAUGAGCAUGAGACAAGGCAAACUUUCAUUUUUAACACCUGGUACAGGUACAAGGAGGGACAAGUCAGCUGAGCAGUUCAAGAAAUAGAUGUAUUUUUAUAUUUUGCGCAUUAUAUAUACAAUAUGUGAAAUUAUUGAUACAUUUGACUGUCAAUAGAUUUAUUGUGGGUGGCACUACUUCAACAUGUAGAAGACAGUUUGAGCAAACACUUUUUUUGUCAAAGUCGACAUAAACUGAAAGAUCCUAAAAGGGGCGUCCAGGAGGCAUCCUGGUUAGAUGCCCAAGCCACUUCAACUGACUCCUCACAAUGCAGAGUCGCAGCGGCCCUACUCCGAGCCCCUCCUGGAUGACUGCGCUUCUCAUCCUUUAUCUGAGGGAGAACCCAGCCACCCUGCAGAGGAAACUCAUCUCAACCACCUGGAUCUGUAAUCUUGUUCUGUCAGUCAGUACCCACAGCUCGUGACCUUGGGUGAGGGUAGAAACGUAGAUCGACCAGUAUAUCAAGAGCUCUGCCUUUAGGUUCAGCUCCCUCUUUACUGUGACAGAUCUGUGCAGUGUAAAUCUAAAGCUUCUGUAGAGUUUUGUUUUUUUACAUUUAUUUAAAAAAUUACAUUUUAUCAUAUCCAAAAGCAAAUAAGACUGUCAGCCACAAGAUGUAAUAUUUUUUAAAUCUCAAUUUGUAAUGUGAGAAAGCAGUAUGAGGGGGUAGGUGUCAGUCAAAGUCCCGACCAAGCAUGUAGAAGACUUGGUAAGCAAAGAUUACUUUGUCCACAGGAAGGGGUGAAAUUUGACAAAACUGAAAGUUCCUCUCAGGAACUUUAAAUGGUAUCAAAUUGUAUGUAUGUAUUGUAUGUUUUGCCAGCUUCAGUGUAGUUCACCUUCAUCAAAUGUGUAAUUAGCAGUUUGUAAAGCCAAGCUGUCCAAGUACUUUUAUACCAGAAUGGCUCCUAAUUUGCAUAUAUUCACAGGAGAGGCUUAUGUUAUUACUGCUGGCUAGAUAAAAAAAGCAUGUUUAUGUUAGGACAGAGAAACCCAAAGUUGCAUUUAAGAGGAACCCUGAGUUACUGUAAGUUCCCAGCGAACUGAACCUAUUUAAGUGUUUGGCUCACAGAGAGUCUUAUGAGGUAUUUUUGUCAGACCUGUUAAGGAAUCUCACCCUUCAGGCUUUGCCAGCUGCAGGGGAACUUUGGCUUUAAAGAAACAAACAACUAUCACAUGCUUUAUGUGCAGUUUUGUAUCAAGUCAGGAGCUGAAAGGAAUGGCUGGUAUGCACAAAAACAUUGACAUUUGUGAUUGACAUUUUUGAUUAAAACUUGAAGGAUCAAACUUAAUGGGCAUCAGUGGACUUUACUUCCUCUAAGGCCACCAUCAUUCACCAGUGGGAAUGAUGAGCAAGGGAAUGACUAAAUCUAGAUUCUGACCUCUAGGUAGGCUUAAUAUUCCCAUUUCUACCGUACCUUAAAGGAAUCUUAGAAAAUAUCACCUUUUUUCAAAAGGAUUCAGAAAUUUUGAGGGAUUUUGUUAGUAAUAAAAAUCUUCAAAAACAUUAAUCAUUAAAGUCUUGUGGGGGACUUUCUGUCAGCGCUUACUAUGGACAAAGUACUACAUUUAUAUUGUUGCUGAUUUCAUCUUGUCCUUAUGAAAAUGUUGUUAAAUGACAAAAACCUUCUGUAGUCCUAGCCAGUGUCCAUUGUAAGCCUAUGGUGCACUGAAAUGUUGUGAACAGGGGAACAUUCUGGACCUCUUUGACCACUCUGGCCUUGAGUGCACCUAACCCCAACAGUAGCUACAGCCAUUAAAAAAUUAUGAUACAGAAAUUGUCGGUCUCAUUGUAGCUGGUCAAAUUUUUUUUUGUAGAUCAUAGAAACAUGUUACUGUUUAUUACAACCCACCAAAAACACCUUACAGGAGCUUUAACUUUGUUUAUUUGGGUUAAAUCAGAAAUCCAAAAUCAUUGGGGGGGAAA